UGUUAGUGCCACUAGCUUGUCUUUCAAAUUUAGGUGACUGAAGUGGAAUAAAAGAGUCUCUCUCAUAUGUAAUGGGGUACACUUGCCUGGCAGUGGAUUUCAAGAGUUUAGCAAAAGUUAAAAACAAUAUUCCUGGAUUGCAGUGAUUAUAUUUGGUAGUUAAAAAAAAAAAAAAAAAUUCAUAUUUGUUAUAUUUGGUAGUUGUUGACUGGCAAAACUUCCUGUAAUCUCUUUGUUUACUUCAAAGUAAUAUAAAAAGUAACAGUAGCUUCUUGUGCAGUGUCCAUGUAGAGCUGGCUGCUUUAAUAUUUAGAAUUAGCAGUGUCAUCUGUGAGGCGUAAGACAAAUUUGUGUUUGGAUACAUCAAUCUCUGAUCUUUCCACUAAUUUUAAUGUUACUUGGUUUCACUUGGCCUGGAGCAGUAUUCCGUUGAUGUCAGCAGAGGUAACAUUAUAGUUUAAUCAACCUACUGACCAUUACACUUAAGUUUCAGAUGAAUGUUUAAAUCUUAUUUCUCAAAGUGAUUCAGCAACUUUUAAUGACAAGUCUUGUAGGUAUUCAUGGCAUACCUGCAAAUAGUAAGGUAACUCCCAAUCAAAAAUUCUGCUGUUCAGAAGCUGAUUAUCCAUAGGUGCACCAAAGACUGUUAAGUUAUACUACAAAAGUACUGCUCAGAUUCAUGAGAAAUUAUUUAUGUCUUGAUUGAGAGUUGAAAGUAUCAAAAUAACACACAUUUGCAUCCAAAAGGAUGGCUUACUAGGCUGAAGAGUUUUGUUGACCAUUAACAGGUCAAAUGGUAUUUACGUAUGUUUUGGGCAACAUUUAUAAAUAAUACUAUAAUUUCUUCCAUAAGUACGUUAUAAAAACCAUACAGAACAUUCCAAUGUACUUUUCAGUGUUUUAAUCAAAAAUAUUUAAUAAUAAUACUACUAAUAAUACAUCUGUAAAGUUUUAUCUCCAUGCAUCUUGGUCUUAGUAGAGCUCCCUUGGAAACUGAAGAGCAGGUUUUCCUUUUGCAGCAUGAACUGCAAAUGGAAUGUAAAAUAUUCCUAAAAUACUUCAUUUAUCUGUGUGCUAGGUAGAGCAUUUUGAUUUUAUAGAAUUUUAGACACAUUUUCAUGAAUGCAAGAAACAAGACAAGUAAAAUAAAAGGUAGUAGAGAAUCAUUAGACAUGAAUAAAUGGACUAUUUGGGAAAUGCAUAGGUUGAGACAGAGAAGCAAAAAGUGUUGGCUCUGAAAAUCAAUUUGGUCUGGAAUUUUUCUGUAUAACUUUCCAAUUAGAUAUAUAGUAGAUGUUUAGCACACAGGAAUAAAAAAAAAAGCCAAAUAGCAAACGAUAGCUUCUAGUACCUUUACACAAGGAAUCUAGUUUGGUGUUUUACUGAGCAUGCCCAAAUAACCAGGACUACAGAAAACUGCAAUCUACAUACACACAAGUAGAAACUGAAAAUUCACUUUUCCUCUCAGGAGGAUAAAUUUUGAAAUAACUAGUUGAAUAAGACGACUUCUACUAAAAACACUUGGAUUUGUAGACCUUGCUUAUAAAUGCCUCUUAGUAUAGUAGUAGUCUGAUAGAUUUAGCAAAUAGCAUGUCAGAUGACGUGUCUUUGAACUAAAACCAGCUGCCUCCAAUAAAGAAACAGAAAAAACACAGGGAAGUUCCUGUGGGGCAGUUCACUGGGAGGUAGAGUUGACAUAAUUUGUUUCCUGUACUCAGGAAAUAACUGUCAAUAGCUCCUGUUGUGAAAUGUUUUUGAAGUCUGGCAGUUGGUUUCUCGUUCAUCACAUGAGCAAGUCAGAUAUAAUCUCAGACGUUGUCAAUGAGAAAAAAGAAUCAAUUAUGGGAUAGUGGCUGCUUGCCUGAAGAAAAGUGUUCUUCUCAGUGUUCCUUCUGUGGAAGACUCAAUGUGCUAGAAACUACCUGCAGUUACAUAUGGGUUUUCAGACCUAAGCAUAUAACCCUGCCUAGCUCCUGUGAAUUUCAGGUUGUUAUUCCAAAUGAAUAUCUCUUAUUUUAAGCCAAAUAAGUGUAAUAAAUGAUAAACUGUGAUAUUAAGAUUUAAAGGCACAAAACAAUGCAGCUAGAUUUACAGCUGCUGUGAGUGACCAGAUCACCAAAAUAAUGCAUGUCAACAUUUCUAUCACAGUUAUACUGAUGAAUUCAUUUCUUGACAUCCAUGGCAUAUAUAAGCAUCACGGUUAUUUUUUUUGUGAAACACAGUUUUGAUUUUUCAGAAUUCUGUGCAUUGAAAAAUUUCAGCCGUUAAACUGUAUUAGAAGUUUGGCCAUUUGCAUAGACAAGACCUUCCUGAUAGAAACGGUGGCCAUGCGGCAAGGUACAAAUUUUACCUCCAAGCUUAAUCCAUAAUGUAACAAAUUAUGAUCUUUUUUAUGGUACAUUGUGUUUGUCUUCGCAGUAAGGUUGUCAUUGUUUUUUGUAUAAUUUGAUUUGCAGUGAAGUAGUUGGUGGAUUUGUGAUAAAGUGUCCAAAACGUAACUAGAUUAGCUAGAGCAAGGGUGCAUGUCCCACAUUUACUUUGAGAUAAAAAGCCUUUUUUCAAGAACAGAUUACUUCCAAAUAGCUUGGGUGAGAGAGCCAAUGUGCUCUAAAUGGCUGUUGCUGUUUGCUUAGUGAAACCUUUAUUUCACCACCAAACCAAUCCUAAUAAAUAUAUUGUCACUUUUUAAUGGAAACCAUUUGAGGGUAAGGGUCAUCAUAAAAAUUUUCAAGGUUAACACUGAAGUUUGGAGCAGUAGGUGGAAUGUUUAGAAGGUAUUUCUAAUUUAGUAGAGCACUAAGCUGUGGUACUCUUUUUACCUGUCUUACAAAGAAUCCGUAGCUGAUCAUUUUCUUUAAGGUGCGUUUUGAUUCCACGGGUUGAGAGAAAAGGGUCUUUAAUAAAUGUGCAGGUUUUUUUACUGUAGUGGUUGAUAAGUGUCAGUAGGACAACUACGUUUUCAUGAUUUGAAGUCAGAAAUGGGCAGUAGUAGUUGAAAACACUACUCAGAGAUGGAAAAAAAGGAACAAACCUCAUUAUAUGGAUUACAUGGUACAGCUCUGAAUUCAAACAAAACAAAAAAAGUCAGCUGGUUAAGUCAGAGAUUUUCUCCAGAUACAUACUGUUAAACUCAUCCUUUUUCGGUCUAUUUUUUCAUUCAUAUUUUAAAUCUUUUAUCUCAAUUGAAAAAAAAAAAAAAA
rnacentral:lncRNA from 1 species